UUCUCUCUCAAAAGAAAGUAAGAUACCCAGUAACUCCCCCCUCCCGGCCCCGGCCCCGUCGGGUGCAGGCUGCGUUCCCACCCGGGGGCAUCCGCCGGGGAGUUCAGGUCCAUUUCACCGCGGAACAAAGAGGGAAAAUACACCGGCAAAGGGCGGUCCCCGCCCCCGGCCCGCGCAGGUGAGGGGCUGGGCAGCGGCCGUGGGCUCCCGCACAAACUGCCCCGAACUUCGCGGGAAAACUUUUCUCCCGCCGGCUCCGGGCAGGCGGCGACAACUGCCCCUUUUAGGGCUUUGAAAAAGACAGAGGCAUGUACCCCACCCCCAGCCCCGAGCCAGGGCUGCGAGCAGCCGGAGCCCAACUUGGCCGCGUAAUUAAAGCGCGUGGCAGCCAGAGCCGCCGCUCUCCGCCAGCAGCUGUUAAUGGCCUCGGAGUUGAGCGGAGCGCGGGGAGAGAGGCAGGGCUGGGAGGAGGCGGGAGCGGAUGUCCCCCGGCCGGGCCGGGGCUCGGGGAGAUCGGGGACGGGAGAGGAAUGGACCUGAAAGACAGGAGCGCGGGGGUGCACGCGGGCGGGAGCGAGGGAGGCAGCGCCGGCUUCCCAGCCCCGCGCCCUUCUCGCCCCUGCGGGCUCGAGGAGGGGGGCGAGAUCCGCACCAAAUGCACGGGCGCGGCGGAGCCCGCGGGGCACAGCCGGGCUGCAAGCGGGGUCCCCGCCCGCCGCCGCCUCGAGCUCCGCGAUCACAGCGACACCGAUCAAUGAGCCUCUCGCUUUUUUUUCUUUUUUUUUUUUUAAUGUGCGUAUGUCCGUGCUGAGCCGGAGCCGCCGGAUUGCGACCUGCCUCCCAGGCGCGCUGCCUGCCCCUCUAGGAAGCCCCGGGAAGUUCCCAGCUGAGCUGGCUGCCCUGAAGGAUGGCGGAGCUGGGACAGUCGCAGUACAAGUAUAAUAUUGCAGUGUCAGGAGGACCUUGGCUGACAGCCCAGCAGUGUGGGACAUGUUUGUAGAAGAUGAAGCAGAAGAGAUGACAUGAAAGUUAUUUUUGUCUAUCAGCUGAAGCAUUAUAGAGACAUCAACAAGCUCUUGUCUCAUGCCAGCUUAAUUCCUAGUUAAUCAGCAGUCUGCUUGGGCAAAGGAAGAAAUUCACGUCCGGGCUGCUGAUGAGCCAAACUUCCCGGUGAGGAUUUGGGAGCCUGAGGGAGUCCUGAUCGCUGGUUUAAUGCUAGUUUGGAUGUGCUGCUGCUCGCAGUGUGCAGCGUCCCUGGAAGAGUUACAUGCCUUUCUGCGACAAGGAUUCCAUCGCUGCCACAAUUGCAUUCAGCCUUAAGGUCACAAGCAGCUUUUGAGUCCUCUCUGAGAUCUUCCCCAACUGAGCAGGUCCCUCAGGUUGAAUGACUGGGGAGCAGAUCCCAGGACCACUCUGGGGAAUACUGAAGAGCCAGACCAUCUGUGGGGCGACAACUAGGAUCCUUCAUUUUGGAGGAAGGAAAGAAGGUGUCUGGCCCUGGUUUCCUUCUCCCUCUUCAUGUACUGAAGAUGAUUGGUUCCACGUUGCAAUGGAUGCUGUGGUGGGAUAGGACUUUGCUACAUCUCCUUCUCCAUUUUUAAAAAUAUUUUUCCUUCUAUCACCUUGUCUUUUUUUGCCUUGAGGAUGUUAUCAAUAAAGAUUACAAUGUGUAAUGCUU